AAAUUCUAACCUACGGGUCUUAUCGACCCGGGAGACAGUGUCAGGUGGGCAGUUUGACUGGGGCGGUCGCCUCCUAAAGUGUAACGGAGGCGCCCAAAGGUUCCCUCAGAAUGGUUGGAAAUCAUUCGUAGAGUGCAAAGGCAUAAGGGAGCUUGACUGCGAGACCUACAAGUCGAGCAGGGACGAAAGUCGGGCUUAGUGAUCCGGUGGUUCCGCAUGGAAGGGCCAUCGCUCAACGGAUAAAAGCUACCCCGGGGAUAACAGGCUUAUCUCCCCCAAGAGUCCACAUCGACGAGGAGAGGUACCACCUCGAUG
rnacentral:rRNA from 1 species